rnacentral:misc_RNA from 1 species
GAUGAAGAACGUAGCGAAAUGCGAUAAGUAGUGUGAAUUGCAGAAUUCAGUGAAUCAUCGAAUCUUUGAACGCACAUUGCGCCCUUUGGCAUUCCGAAGGGCACACCUGUCCGAGCGCCGUCGCACAACUGAGGCGCGGCCUUGCGUUGGCGGGCGACUUGUGAGUAGCGAGUCGCCGCCCAAACGAGACGGCGCCGCGCCGCGGCCGACGAAGCACGAAAGCGGAAGUCGACGCGGAGGCGGUUGCCUGUAGGAAGACACAGCUUGGCCUCGGAUCAGGUGGGGAUACCCGCUGAACUUAAGCAUAUCAAUAAGCGGAGGA